rnacentral:rRNA from 1 species
CAGUAGCCACGGUAAUACGAGGGGUGCAAGCGUCAAUCGGAAUUACUGGGCGUAAAGCGUGCGUAGGCGGUGAGUUAAGUCUGCUGUGAAAUCCCCGGGCUCAACCUGGGAAUGGCAGUGGAUACUGGCUCGCUAGAGUGUGUCAGAGGAUGGUGGAAUUCCCGGUGUAGCGGUGAAAUGCGUAGAGAUCGGGAGGAACAUCAGUGGCGAAGGCGGCCAUCUGGGACAACACUGACGCUGAGGCACGAAAGCGUGGGGAGCAAACCGGAUUAGAUACCCGGGUAGUCCCUGUCUCUUAUAC